rnacentral:rRNA from 1 species
GAAUGCUGACAUAAGUAACGAUAAAGCGGGUGAAAAGCCCGCUCGCCGGAAGACCAAGGGUUCCUGUCCAACGUUAAUCGGGGCAGGGUGAGUCGACCCCUAAGGCGAGGCCGAAAGGCGUAGUCGAUGGGAAACAGGUUAAUAUUCCUGUACUUGGUGUUACUGCGAAGGGGGGACGGAGAAGGCUAUGUUGGCCGGGCGACGGUUGUCCCGGUUUAAGCGUGUAGGCUGGUUUUCCAGGCAAAUCCGGAAAAUCAAGGCUGAGGCGUGAUGACGAGGCACUACGGUGCUGAAGCGACAAAUGCCCUGCUUCCAGGAAAAGCCUCUAAGCAUCAGGUAACAUCAAAUCGUACCCCAAACCGACACAGGUGGUCAGGUAGAGAAUACCAAGGCGCUUGAGAGAACUCGGGUGAAGGAACUAGGCAAAAUGGUGCCGUAACUUCGGGAGAAGGCACGCUGAUAUGUAGGUGAAGCGACUUGCUCGUGGAGCUGAAAUCAGUCGAAGAUACCAGCUGGCUGCAACUGUUUAUUAAAAACACAGCACUGUGCAAACACGAAAGUGGACGUAUACGGUGUGACGCCUGCCCGGUGCCGGAAGGUUAAUUGAUGGGGUUAGCGGUAACGCGAAGCUCUUGAUCGAAGCCCCGGUAAACGGCGGCCGUAACUAUAACGGUCCUAAGGUAGCGAAAUUCCUUGUCGGGUAAGUUCCGACCUGCACGAAUGGCGUAAUGAUGGCCAGGCUGUCUCCACCCGAGACUCAGUGAAAUUGAACUCGCUGUGAAGAUGCAGUGUACCCGCGGCAAGACGGAAAGACCCCGUGAACCUUUACUAUAGCUUGACACUGAACAUUGAGCCUUGAUGUGUAGGAUAGGUGGGAGGCUUUGAAGUGUGGACGCCAGUCUGCAUGGAGCCGACCUUGAAAUACCACCCUUUAAUGUUUGAUGUUCUAACGUGGGCCCCUUACCGGGGUUGCGGACAGUGUCUGGUGGGUAGUUUGACUGGGGCGGUCUCCUCCUAAAGAGUAACGGAGGAGCACGAAGGUUGGCUAAUCCUGGUCGGACAUCAGGAGGUUAGUGCAAUGGCAUAAGCCAGCUUGACUGCGAGCGUGACGGCGCGAGCAGGUGCGAAAGCAGGUCAUAGUGAUCCGGUGGUUCUGAAUGGAAGGGCCAUCGCUCAACGGAUAAAAGGUACUCCGGGGAUAACAGGCUGAUACCGCCCAAGAGUUCAUAUCGACGGCGGUGUUUGGCACCUCGAUGUCGGCUCAUCACAUCCUGGGGCUGAAGUAGGUCCCAAGGGUAUGGCUGUUCGCCAUUUAAAGUGGUACGCGAGCUGGGUUUAGAACGUCGUGAGACAGUUCGGUCCCUAUCUGCCGUGGGCGCUGGAGAACUGAGGGGGGCUGCUCCUAGUACGAGAGGACCGGAGUGGACGCAUCACUGGUGUUCGGGUUGUCAUGCCAAUGGCACUGCCCGGUAGCUAAAUGCGGAAGAGAUAAGUGCUGAAAGCAUCUA